CAGGCCUAACACAUGCAAGUCGCACGAGAAAGGGCUUCGGCCUGAGUAAAGUGGCGCACGGGUGAGUAACACGUGACUUAUCUACCCUCGAGUGGGGAAUAACCUAGGGAAACCUGGGCUAAUACCGCAUAACACUUACGAGUCAAAGCAGCAAUGCGCUUGGGGAGGAGGUCGCGGCAGAUUAGUUAGUUGGUGGGGUAAUGGCCUACCAAGACGAUGAUCUGUAUCCGGCCUGAGAGGGCGCACGGACACACUGGAACUGAAACACGGUCCAGACUCCUACGGGAGGCAGCAGUGGGGAAUUUUGCGCAAUGGGGGAAACCCUGACGCAGCAACGCCGCGUGGAGGAUGAAGUCUCUUGGGACGUAAACUCCUUUCGACAGGAACGAUAAUGACGGUACCUGUAGAAGAAGCCCCGGCUAACUUCGUGCCAGCAGCCGCGGUAAU
rnacentral:rRNA from 1 species